GACGAACGCUGGCGGCGUGCUUAACACAUGCAAGUCGAACGGUGAAGCGCCUUCCUUUUUGGUGGGUGUGGAUGAGUGGCGAACGGGUGAGUAACACGUGAGUAACCUGCCCCCUUCUUCUGGAUAACCGCAUGAAAGUGUGGCUAAUACGGGAUAUUCUGGGUCUGUCGCAUGAUGGGUCUGGGAAAGAUAUUGUUUCGGUGGGGGAUGGGCUCGCGGCCUAUCAGCUUGUUGGUGGGGUGAUGGCCUACCAAGGCGGUGACGGGUAGCCGGCCUGAGAGGGUGGACGGUCACACUGGGACUGAGACACGGCCCAGACUCCUACGGGAGGCAGCAGUGGGGAAUAUUGCACAAGGGGCGCAAGCCUGAUGCAGCGACGCCGCGUGAGGGAUGGAGGCCUUCGGGUUGUGAACCUCUUUCGACAGUGAAGCAGGCCUGCCUCGUUUGUGGGUGGGUUGACGGUAGCUGGAUAAGAAGCGCCGGCUAACUACGUG
rnacentral:rRNA from 1 species